UGUGUGUGUGUGUGUGUGUGUAUGUAUAUAUAUAUAUACAUAUAUAUAUAUACACACACACAUAUAUAUAUAUACACACACA